rnacentral:lncRNA from 1 species
GGAGAUAUUGAAGUAGCGAAAGAUUUCUACAACAAAGGGAUGGAUGGGCAACCUAAAUCCAACUUGAAACACUUCUUCAUACAAGUCGAUCCUAUUAGGGAAAGGAUCACCGAUCUUACCACUGGGCUCCGAAGGCUCUAACUCAUAUGAAGAAGGAAUCCCAUAUUGGGCCCGUAUUAGACUUAGAUCUCCUGAGUCCAACACAGAUCCAAUGGUGCUGGGUACGAAAAGUGGUCUGCCCUUGUGCCCAACAUCGGAACCUACGGGGAUUCCAUCUAAAGUAGAGGAGGACCCAGAAGACCAACCCUCACUAGAAUCCUCAAAACCAGCCAUUAAAGGGAAGA